GCCUGGUUAGCUCAAUCGGUAGAGCGUGAGACUCUUACGAGACCAGAACCAUCUCAAGGCUACGGGUUCGACCCCCGUAUCGGGCU
rfam:Cordyceps militaris CM01 unplaced genomic scaffold CCM_S00006, whole genome shotgun sequence.